rnacentral:rRNA from 1 species
UACGAGUGCCUCAAGCGUUAUCCGGAAUUAUUGGGCGUAAAGGUUGUGUAGGUGGUUAUAUUAGUCUUCUGUUAAAUUCUUCGGCUUAACCGGGGGCAUGCAGGGGAAACGGUAUAACUAGAGGAUGCGAGGGGUCUGCGGAAUUCCUGGUGUAGCGGUGAAAUGCGCAGAUAUCAGGAGGAACACCGGUGGCGAAGGCGGAUCUCUGGGCCAUUACUGACGCUGAGGAGCGAAAGCGUGGGGAGCGAACAGG